rnacentral:tRNA from 1 species
GCGGAUAUAGCGUAAUCGGUUAACGCGCGAGAUUGUGGUCCUCGAGACCGUGGGUUCAAUUCCCACUAUCCGCCCCA